UACGUAGGGUGCGAGCGUUGUCCGGAAUUAUUGGGCGUAAAGAGCUUGUAGGCGGUUUGUCGCGUCUGCUGUGAAAAUCCGGGGCUCAACCCCGGACUUGCAGUGGGUACGGGCAGACUAGAGUGUGGUAGGGGAGACUGGAAUUCCUGGUGUAGCGGUGAAAUGCGCAGAUAUCAGGAGGAACACCAAUGGCGAAGGCAGGUCUCUGGGCCACUACUGACGCUGAGAAGCGAAAGCAUGGGGAGCGAACAGG
rnacentral:rRNA from 1 species